rnacentral:misc_RNA from 1 species
GGAUUACUCAUUUCUCCUUUUAUUAGAUGGGAUCUCUAUUCCUCCGUUAACAUUCCUUUCCAUUUUCUGUUCCCUCUCUUCUACUAGUCUUCUUUUUAGAUCUCCUCCACUGAUUUCUAGGGUUCCAUCGGCGCUCUAGAUCUCGCUGCGACUGGAAUAACCACUGGAUUGGUGUCGACUUUCUCUCAAAUCGGCGGUUCGAUUCCAAUCGC